rnacentral:tRNA from 1 species
GCUCUUGAUAUUGCACGGCGCGGCAGCGGAUUAAAAAUUCGCGUGUCGGCGGUUCAAAUCCGUCUCCGGGCACCA